GAGUUUGAUCUUGGCUCAGAUUGAACGCUGGCGGCAGGCCUAACACAUGCAAGUCGAGCGGAUGACGGGAGCUUGCUCCUUGAUUCAGCGGCGGACGGGUGAGUAAUGCCUAGGAAUCUGCCUGGUAGUGGGGGACAACGUUUCGAAAGGAACGCUAAUACCGCAUACGUCCUACGGGAGAAAGCAGGGGACCUUCGGGCCUUGCGCUAUCAGAUGAGCCUAGGUCGGAUUAGCUAGUUGGUGGGGUAAUGGCUCACCAAGGCGACGAUCCGUAACUGGUCUGAGAGGAUGAUCAGUCACACUGGAACUGAGACACGGUCCAGACUCCUACGGGAGGCAGCAGUGGGGAAUAUUGGACAAUGGGCGAAAGCCUGAUCCAGCCAUGCCGCGUGUGAGAA
rnacentral:rRNA from 1 species